rnacentral:rRNA from 1 species
UACGUAGGGGGCAAGCGUUAUCCGGAAUUAUUGGGCGUAAAGCGCGCGCAGGUGGUUUCUUAAGUCUGAUGUGAAAGCCCACGGCUCAACCGUGGAGGGUCAUUGGAAACUGGGAGACUUGAGUGCAGAAGAGGAAAGUGGAAUUCCAUGUGUAGCGGUGAAAUGCGUAGAGAUAUGGAGGAACACCAGUGGCGAAGGCGGUUGCCUGGGGCUUUGCUGACGCUGAUGCGCGAAAGCGUGGGGAGCGAUCCGG